rnacentral:rRNA from 1 species
CAAUGGGCGAAAGCNUGACGGAGCAAUACCGCGUGAGGGAGGAAGGCCUUAGGGUUGUAAACCUCUUUUCUCUGGGAAGAAGAUCUGACGGUACCAGAGGAAUAAGCCUCGGCNNACUCCGUG